rnacentral:rRNA from 1 species
AUACGGAGGAUCCGAGCGUUAUCCGGAUUUAUUGGGUUUAAAGGGUGCGCAGGCGGCCAUUUAAGUCAGCGGUUAAAUCGUGGGGCUCAACCCCAUUCUGCCGUUGAUACUGGGUGGCUUGAUUGCGGUCGAGGUUGGCGGAAUUCGUUGUGUAGCGGUGAAAUGCAUAGAUAUGACGAAGAACACCAAUUGCGAAGGCAGCUCACUGGGGCAUAACUGACGCUGAUGCACGAAGGUGUGGGUAUCAAACAGGAUUAGAUACCCUGGUAGUCCACACAGUAAACUAUGAAUACUCGCUGUUUGCGAUAUACAGUAAGCGGCCAAGCGAAAGCAUUAAGUAUUCCACCUGGGGAGUACGCCGGCAACGGUGAAACUCAAAUGAAUUGGCGGGG